GACGAACGCUGGCGGCGUGCUUAACACAUGCAAGUCGAACGGAAAGGCCCUGCUUUUGUGGGGUGCUCGAGUGGCGAACGGGUGAGUAACACGUGAGUAACCUGCCCUUGACUUUGGGAUAACUUCAGGAAACUGGGGCUAAUACCGGAUAGGAUCUCCUGCUGCAUGGUGGGGGUUGGAAAGUUUCGGCGGUUGGGGAUGGACUCGCGGCUUAUCAGCUUGUUGGUGGGGUAGUGGCUUACCAAGGCUUUGACGGGUAGCCGGCCUGAGAGGGUGACCGGCCUCAUUGGGACUGAGAUAGGGCCCAGACUCCUACGGGAGGCAGAAGUGGGGAAGAUUGAACAAGGGGCGGAAGCCUGAUGCAGCAACGCCGCGUGCGGGAUGACGGCCUUCGGGUUGUAAACCGCUUUCGCCUGUGACGAAGAGUGAGUGACGGUAAUGGGUAAAGAAGCACCGGCUAACUACGUG
rnacentral:rRNA from 1 species